rnacentral:rRNA from 1 species
UACGUAGGGUGCAAGCGUUAAUCGGAAUUACUGGGCGUAAAGCGUGCGCAGGCGGUUUUGUAAGUUUGUCGUGAAAGCCCCGGGCUCAACCUGGGAACUUGCGAUGAAGACUGCAAGGCUUGAAUCUGGCAGAGGGGGGUAGAAUUCCACGUGUAGCAGUGAAAUGCGUAGAGAUGAUGGAGGAACACCGAUGGCGAAGGCAGCCCCCUGGGUCAAGAUUGACGCUCAUGCACGAAAGCGUGGGGAGCAAAAGGG